UAAACUCCGGUAACAUAUUUAGGUUUCACCUUACUUUUUUUCAUUUCCCUAUUUCUUGUAACUUUUACAAUUUUCAGUUUGACUAUUCAGCUCUUCUCUCUUUACUGUGUACCUACGAGGAAGACAAGACGAAGAAGCUUUCGUUCUUCUCUGCGUGCCUUUCACCGUUAUUCUUCACCCUCCGUGUUUGAACUCAUUACGAGACAACAGGCCUUGAGAUCUGUAGAGACUCAGGGGAAAACAUUGAUGCUUUGGUUGCAAGGAUAGGAACUAAAGGAUUAAUAACAUGUGCUGGAAAUUUUCUCAAGCAGAAAAACCCAAACAUCAAGGUUCUACAUAAGGUUGGAGCUGAAAGAGCAAGUGUCACUACAAUAAUUGUAGAUUCACUUGGAGCCAAUUAUAGAAUAGUUUGGGCUUUGAGCAAAUACUUCCCAAACGUCAAAACUUUUGGAAAAGGCUGGAGCUACCGCUGUUGUCCAAGAGACCUUGGAACCAAGUCUUCAACUAGUUGUUAUGGUUCUCGCUCAAAAACUUGUCUCAUAAUAUAAGCGGUUGAAGCAAACAAAAAGGAGGAUGAGUAAUCUUGCUUAAAAUCCUUAUGGAAAAACUCAUUUGAACUCACCACAUGUUUUUCCAACUGUAGAUACUUCCAGUUAUGUUGGACGUUGGCACCAACAAUCAAAAGCUAAUUGAAGACCACCUUUGUGUCAAGGGAGUGUUCCUAAUGAAGAAACAAAUGAUUCAAAUCAAGAUUAAGAUUGAUAGUAAAGAAUGUUAUAUUAGACUUUUACUAUUUUACUUUUACGAAGAAACAAAGAUAUUGUAAUAUUCUAUUAGUUUGAACAUCUAAAUUUUAUUGUUUAUCUUGAACUUAUAGACAAAGUUUCUUGUUUUUAUAAAUGUUAUAUCUAGUUAUAAACAUGUAUCAAAAUUUAGAAGUUUUAAUGUUUUUUUUUGAUAGAGCAGUUUUAAUAUA